rnacentral:lncRNA from 1 species
UGGCGUUACUCCAAUGUUGAUACGUAGCCUCUUUCUGUACCAUGCAUUGAUGACUAUCGGUUACCAAUGCUGCUGGUCUACCAACCGUACAUGUAGGGUUGUUUUCAUACUCAUACCCAGCUUCAUCGGUCAUUAGAGAUGCAUGAAGUGGAGAUCUCCCCAUGUUUGACUGCGCAAGUGAAGCAGAUACAGGUUGAGACACACUCACAUGUUGUUCACCAUCACUCGAAACUCCUAUCGUCGUCGGCU